CGGAAACUUUUAUCUAUUAAAUAAAUAAGUCAAGAAAUGAAUAAAUAAUCAUAAAAAGAUAAAUUAUAAAUUAAAAAAAAAACAAUGAAUUUUAAUUUACCAGAAUUAAUUUAGAUAUCUUUCAGUUUUUUCUAUAAAUUUCUUCCACAAUUGUCAACUUUCUUUUCUUAAUUAUUCUACAUUUUUUUUUUCUGUGGAUUCUUCUAUUUAUAAAAGUUCACUUUGUAUUUUUAAAAUAUUUAGAGUCUUAUGUUAUGACUAAGCAGUGAGCUGAGUUGGAUUAAGUAGUUAAAUACUAAAUAAAUGCUUCAUUAAGACGCUUCUGCAACAUUGGUACUAUUGGCUCUUUUAGGGAAUCACAAACUAAAUAAAUGCCCUUAAUUUAAAGAACUUUAGCCUUACAAAGUUUAUUUUCAAAAGAAAGGAAAGGCAUUUGGAGUACAAAUUAGAAGGCUAAAAAAUGAUUUGUAAGAAAAUAAUCUAGAAUUUUUCCACAGUUAACCUUCCCUGUCCAACCUUGAUCAGAUACAAUCAAUCCAAUAUUUCUCUUUCUGUGACUUUCUAGAGUAGAAAACAAUGACAGAAUUACACAUGCUUUCUACGCAUGUACCAAACAAGAUAAACAACACGCAUAACCAGACAUUAUACAUUUACACUACUCA
rnacentral:misc_RNA from 1 species